rnacentral:rRNA from 1 species
CCUACGGGAGGCUGCAGUGGGGAAUAUUGGACAAUGGGCGAAAGCCUGAUCCAGCCAUGCCGCGUGUGUGAAGAAGGCCUUCGGGUUGUAAAGCACUUUCAGUGGGGAAGAAAGCCUUGGGGCUAAUACCCUCGAGGAAGGACAUCACCCACAGAAGAAGCACCGGCUAACUCCGUGCCAGCAGCCGCGGUAAUACGGAGGGUGCGAGCGUUAAUCGGAAUUACUGGGCGUAAAGCGCGCGUAGGCGGUCUGUAAGCCGGUUGUGAAAGCCCCGGGCUCAACCUGGGAACGGCAUCCGGAACUGUCAGGCUAGAGUGCAGGAGAGGAAGGUAGAAUUCCCGGUGUAGCGGUGAAAUGCGUAGAGAUCGGGAGGAAUACCAGUGGCGAAGGCGGCCUUCUGGACUGACACUGACGCUGAGGUGCGAAAGCGUGGGUAGCAAACAGGAUUAGAUACCCUAGUAGUC